rnacentral:snoRNA from 1 species
GGUUGAUGAUGAUAAAGGUUAAGGCUUGUUUCUCAAAACAUUCGCAGUGGCCGCCUAAAGCUUUCGCCUUUCGCCAGGCUUGAGAGCUAAUGCAGCUCAUAUCCUUCCUUGGAUGUCUGAAACC